rnacentral:misc_RNA from 1 species
GAUGAAGAACGUAGUGAAAUGCGAUACUUGGUGUGAAUUGCAGAAUCCCGUGAACCAUCGAGUUUUUGAACGCAAGUUGCGCCCGAAGCCAUCAGGUUGAGGGCACGUCUGCCUGGGCGUCACAUAUCGUUGCCCUAUGCCUAUUGCAGUGCAAUAGGAAUUUCUAGGGCGAAUGAUGGCUUCCCGUGAGCGUUGUUGCCUCGCGGUUGGUUGAAAAUCGAGUCCUUGGUAGGGUGUGCCAUGGUAGAUGGUGGUCGAGUUAGAACGAUACCGAUCAUGUGCAUGCCCCCCAAAAUAUGGCCUCUAUGACCCACACGCGUCUUUUGACGCUCAUGACGAGACCUCAGGUCAGGCGGGGCUACCCGCUGAAUUUAAGCAUAUCAAUAAGCGGAGGA